AGAGUUUGAUUCUGGCUCAGAACGAACGCUGGCAGCGUGGAUUAGGCAUGCAAGUCGAACGAGAAUCCGUUAGUUCAAUCUUUCGAGAGAGAGCCGGCGGAGGAGAGUGGCGGAAGGGUGAGGAACGCGUGGGUAACCUACCCCCGAGUUGGGGAUAACUCCGCGAAAGCGGGGCUAAUACCGAAUACAAUGGUGUCGCAUCAGCGGCAUUGAUCAAAGGUGGGGAUCCGUAUGGACCUGCCGCUUGGGGAGGGGCCCGCGUCCUAUCAGCUUGUUGGUGAGGUAACGGCUCACCAAGGCUUACGGGUAGCUGGUCUGAGAGGAUGGUCAGCCACACUUGGACUGAGACACUGCCCAGACUCCUACGGGAGGCUGCAGUCGAGGAUCAUUCGCAAUGCGCGAAAGCGUGACGAUGCGACGCUGCGUGGAGGAUGACGGCCUUCGGGUUGUAAACUCCUGUCAUCGGGGAACAAUAGCGGGCCGGCCAAUACCCGGUUCGUGUGAUAGUACUCGAGGAGGAAGCGACGGCUAACUCUGUGCCAGCAGCCGCGGUAACACAGAGGUCGCGAGCGUCGUUCGGAUUUACUGGGCGUAAAGGGUGCGUAGGUGGUACUGUGUGUCGGAUGUGAAAGCCCACGGCUCAACCGUGGAACGGCAUUCGAAACUGCAGAACUUGAGUGCAGGAGAGGAGAGCGGAAUUCUUGGUGUAGCGGUGGAAUGCGUUGAUAUCAAGAAGAACACCGGUGGCGUAGGCGGCUCUCUGGAAUGUAACUGACACUGAGGCACGAAAGUUGGGGUAGCAAACAGGAUUAGAUACCCUGGUAGUCCCAACCGUAAACGGUGCGAACUUGGUGUGGGGGGGAGUUGACCCCCCCCGUGCCGGAGCUAACGCGUUAAGUUCGCCGCCUGGGGAGUACGGCCGCAAGGCUAAAACUCAAAGAAAUUGACGGGGGCCCGCACAAGCGGAGGGGCAUGUGGCUUAAUUCGAUGCAACGCGAAGAACCUUACCAGGGCUUGACAUGCAGGUGGUACAAAUCCGAAAGGAGGCGGACCCUUCGGGGAGCCUGCACAGGUGCUGCAUGGCUGUCGUCAGUUCGUGCCGUGAGGUGUUGGGUUAAGUCCCGCAACGAACGCAACCCCUAUAGUUAGUUGCCACCGCAGGUGAUGAGCCUGCGAGCACUCUAGCUAGACUGCCCGUGACAAGCGGGAGGAAGGUGGGGAUGACGUCAAGUCAGUAUGGCCCUUACGCCCUGGGCUGCACACGUGCUACAAUGACCGGUACAGUGGGAGGCGAUGCCGCGAGGUGGAGCAAAUCCCCAAAACCGGCCCCAGUUCGGAUUGGAGUCUGCAACUCGACUCCAUGAAGUUGGAUUCGCUAGUAAUGGCGCAUCAGCUACGGCGCCGUGAAUGCGUUCCCGGGCCUUGUACACACCGCCCGUCACAUCAUGAAAGCUGUCUGCACCCGAAGUCGCUGAACCAAUCCCACUUCGGUGGGAAGGAAGGUGCCGAAGGAGUGGGCAGUGAUUGGGAUGAAGUCGUAACAAGGUA
rnacentral:rRNA from 1 species